GCCUCUGGGAUAGCUCAGUCAGCAGAGCAUGAAAGUCUUAAUCUCAGGGUUGUGGGUUCAAGCCCCACAUUGGGCA
rnacentral:tRNA from 1 species